rnacentral:lncRNA from 1 species
CAGCUGUAGUGAGAUCCAUGGAUGCAACAAGUUACAUGGCUCAGAGAAGUACAACUAAAGAGAGGAAGUUGAUUACAAACACACAGAAGAGCUAAAAGUUUUCUAUACAUUGUUCACUGGGUCCUCCUAGUAAAGCUAUGGAAUGGGGAUUAGGACAUGGCCAGAAACAAGCUGAAAUACCUUUGUAAAUUUUCCUAGGUCACACCUACUGACCUACAAACACAGGAGCUGAGCUUGGUGCAACGAAGCAAGUGAGUGUCUUGUGACAACUGUGGAACUGCUCCCAGGACAAUCAGCUGAAGUGAGAUGAGAAAUUCAAGUCCAAAAUGGCAAACAACUUGGCCAAAUCACGUGGGGUUGGAAGAGGAACUGGGGUUAGUAGCCAAGACUCAGGUCUCUGCUGCCCUGCUUCAGAGUAGGCACAGGGUCAGGGAGGACUUGCUGGUGCCUGGCAGAGAAAUAGAGAAGGUUGAUGGCAUCAGUCUUCUCCAGGAACAGCUGAGGGAGAUCAAGAGCAACAGCCCAGGUGACCCUGAAAAGCUGCACCUUAAGAAGGUGACUGAUUGGGCCGUGGAUGUUCGUGUGCAGCAAAGACAGAAAGCCCUCAUCCACUGGCUGAUGGAAGCAGAGGCAGACAUCCACAGAUAUACACUGAACUGAACUCUGGAACCUAGUUGCAGAGAGGGAGGAAUGAAGACCGAAGGUGUUGGGACCAGGCUGGUGAAACCCACAGAAACAGCUGGCCUGAACAAGGGGAGCACAUCGACCCUAGACUGCUGUCUGGGAGGCCAGCACGGGCCUGAUCCAGACCCCUGAACAUGGAUGUCAGUGAGGAGGCUUCUGCACUCUAGGGGACCCCUGGUAGUGGAUUAGUAUUUUUCCCUGGUGUAAGAAGGGACUUUGAGAGCCCAUCCCACAUCUUGGCCUGGACACAUGGGGAAGGGACUAGGUCUGCUCCAGGAUGAUGUGGUGGACUUUGGGGACCCCUGUCGAGGACCCUACCCAGCCUGGGAAGUGGAGGGUGGAUGGGGUGGAGGACAGGUGGGAGGUUGAGGGGAGGGGUUGGGGGAAGGGGUGGGGGAGGGAGAAGGGAUUGACAUGUGAAGCAAGCUUGUUCCUAAGUUGAACUAUAAAAACAAUUACAAAAAAAAAACAAAAACAAAAAAACACCUGCCUGGACCUUUGUGGUACCUAAUCUCUAUUUGUUAAAUGAACUAGUGCAUCAGAUCUAUAUUUUUGCAACUGUACAUGCAGAAAUGUUGGCAUAUUGGCACUGGGAAGACAUGUGCACCCUACAGUGGAGUGGGGGAUUUAUAAUUAUCAAGCUGGAAAGGUUUCAACAAUCCAGAGAUACCCUUGGGGAUUGGUUAAUGAUUAGAACCCCCAUGAAGCAACCCUGAAAAUUGUUAUGGAGGUGGCCUGGGUGGAUGGCUCAGUGGGCAAAGCACUUGUUCUGCAAGACUGAGGAGCUAGGUUUUAAUUGCUAGUACCUACUUAAAAAACUGGGCCCUGAGAUCAUCACCUGUUCUCUCAAGGCUGGUGGGUAGAAACAGGACUUUAGAAGCUAACUGGCCAGCCAGGCUAGCUAAGCUAUGAGAUCCAGAUUCAGUGAGAAACCCUAGCUCAAUAAAGUGGAGAAAAAUAGAGGAAGUCA